CACGUGGUUGGGCUGGAGGCAGGCACACCCAGAGCAGGGUGCCAAUACUCAGAUGGGUUUUGGAGGUUCCCAAGACCCCAACAGCCUCUCCCUGUGAGUUUCUAUCCCUUUAUAAGGAGUAAAGGAUGAGUGGUGGCAAUGCUUAUGGGUUCCAUCCAGGAGAUGGCAGCAGCAUCCCUCGCACAUUCCUAUGGCAACGGGAGCAUCCCCAGGCUGGGGGGGACACACCAUAAGGGAGGGAAAAGCUGCUGCAAAACUUGCAAGCCGUAGCUUGGAUCCCAUCGUGCUGCUCACAGACAGCUGAUGCGCAGCGCUCGGGCUACUGGGAUCCAGAUCCCUCUCUCAUGUUAUGCUGUGUUGAAGCCUCUAGGACAACAUUUUGGCCUGGAUUCAGGAAGCCUGUUAAGGAUUGCAGCCUGGAGAGGUUGGAGGCCGGGAUGGGCGAGAUGGAGCUGGGCUGGGAACAGCCGUGUGGUGAGGUUGCAGGAGGCUGCAGGACCUUCCCAGCAGGACAACCUCUGUGUCUGUCCGGCCCUCCAUCCAGCCCUGCUGUGUCCCGAGGGCUGCAGGAGACAUGAGCUCACUGCUGAGACGUGCCAAACCAAGCCCGCCUGGCGAGGCUGCUCCCAGCUCCACGCUGACAUCUGCCAGAGAUUUCCAGCACUGCUGUCUUGCUGCUUCUCUGCAGAACGCAGCCCCUGAGCGUCCCAACAUCCUGCUCCUCCUCUGGGCCAGAGGCAUCCACAUCUACAUCCCCAUCGCUAUCCCAAUCCACAUCCCCAUCCCCACCUGCAUCCCCAUCCCCGCCCACAUCAGCAUCCUAACACCUGAACUGGUUGCCAUAGAAACCACAGGUCUGUCUGUCUGCCCGUGCCAGGGGUCAAUGCACUGCUCCCCCUGGCACAGCUAUUUGUGGUCCACAGACAGGGAAACAGGGGCACGCUGGAGGCAUGGAGCAUCCACACAAGGAGGACGGUGCAUCCUGGGAGUGAAUGGGAAAGUGUAGCUCUGCCAGAAGUUAUAGCAUCUGGGACAUCAAUGUGAGCAGAGGGCGAAAGCUGGAAAUCAUUACAUGGCACAACAGAAGGCAAAACAUUCACCUGGAGAAGGCAAUUAGCUCAGCAGGUCUUUUAGUGUCAUUAAGGGAUUAUUGUCCUGUUAUUACAUGUCCCAUCAUUAAGGGAUUAUUGUCUCAGUGGUUCCUUGACCUCCUGGGCAUGGCUGGAUGGUGUCACAUCAGACCCCAUAGAAGGUGUUGUUAGGGUGGGUGGGGUAGUGUGAGUUGUCCUCUCUUUCAGAGACCACCAGCAAAGCAAAUCGUUGUGUUAGGGAUGUGACCAAUUGGUUUGGAGGUGUCCAGGGCCAAGCUGAAUGAGAAACCUCAUCCAGUGCUUGAUUGAGCAGUCUGCAACCCUGCCUACGGCAUGGAGAUUGGAAGUGGACAGUCUCUGGGGUCCCUUCCAACACAAGCCAUUCUAUGAUUUCUUGCCCACGUGGUCCUAUGGGCAUCCCAGUGACCAUAUAUAGCCAACUCUCUGCUCUCCACCUCCUAUAAAAGAUGCUGGCUGCUGGUUUCCGUGCUGCCAGCCGUCCCGGAGCUGUGCGUUCUGCAUUUCCCUUUUAGGAAGCAAGAUUCUUGGACAUAGGGCAGUAAAAAGAAAACAUCUCUCAGCUCUUAUUUAUCACCUCUCCUUAUAACUGACCACUCUCUAAAUAGAGGGACCGCUUGCAGCCCAGGAGUGCAGCACAACGGAGCCAGAGGUGCCUUUGGCCCCUGCUGUCCUGGAUGGACUUCCAUGCAGAUCUCCCCACCUCGCUGCUAUUUAUGGGGUCAGCUCCAGGCAAGGAACCCAGCUGAAGUCCUGGUGCUUACUGCUCACCGGCCAAGCCAAACAGCGGAGUGAUGCAAUAUUGCACAAACUUUCCAGCCAGGGAAAUUAAUCUUUGCAAUAGAGGAAAAAAAAAAAAAAAAAAAAAAAAAAGCAGUGAGCACAGAAGACAGCUCAGGGCGUCUGUCUUGGAGGGGAUGUCUGUUAAAUGGGCUCAGCACAUGCUGUUCUGGCUGCUUCCGCUGAACUCUGCUGCUGGCGAGGUCAGUGUUGCUGUGGGUUUGCUCAAGUCCUGGGGCUUCUCCCUGAGCUGCUGGAGCUCAGGGAGCGUUGGGACGUUGCUCUCAGCCAUAGGGUUUGGGUGGUGCUGUGUGGAGUCAGGGGUUGGACUCUGAUCCUCGCGGGUCCCUUCCAAUUUGGGAUAUUCUGCAGCUGUGUGCUUGUAUCAUUCUAUGAUUCUAAGGUAGAGGUGGGAUCUUCAGGUGGAAGAGUCCUUUUUGGACGAUCAUGUGCUGCAAUUUUGGGAUCCAUGUAAACUCCUUUUGUACUGCAGCAGUGAUUCCUCAGCUUAACCUCAGUGCACGGGAUGAGGAUCCGCUCCCUUUUCAGCCUGGACUUGCUGAGGCGUUGGGUUCCUAGCCACGGGUGUCUCAAUGGAUGGGCAGCAUACUGAAGAGAUGUCCCUCUGCAGGUUGGAUGGGACCCUGUGCAACCUGAUCUGGUGUCUGACAGCCCUGCCUGCAGCAGGAGGUUGGAGCUCAAUGAUCUUCAAGGUCCCUUCCAACCCAAGCCAUUCUACGACUCCCAACCAAACCAUUCUACGACUACGAUUCCAACCGCUCCUAAUUUUGCAGCUCCGUUCAAGCCCCGCUCUGCCAUCACUCUAACAGGAGCCGUCACCUAUCUUUAAACCUUCUCUCACCCUUCUCUGCAUCUUCCCCCAGAUCCUCAAUGGGCGGUGAUAAGAGCGGACUGAAAGACCACUCGUGCGUUAUCGGCACUUUGGAAAACCCCGGGCAGCUCACGUGGCUGCCGGCUGACGCUUCAGUGCCUCUCUGAUCCCUUACAUAACCAGUGGCACUGUUUGCUUUUCCUUGCUGACUUUUUUUUUGUGUGUGUGUGUGUGACUCCCACGUUCACUGCUCUUAAAGCCGCUUAUAAUCACUCUAAAGCCCCAGCUUAGCCAGGCACCGCUCUGGGUCCUGAGCGGCUUGCUGAGCUGCCUCCUUCGUUCCCUUGCGUGAAGGUUUCUUUCCCUUUUGCUGGUUCCAGGUUCAACAUUUUUAUGGCUUCUCCCCUGCACAGCAGUUCUGAUUUGGGAUCCGCUGCUCAUGGGAUGGCCCAAAGCCUCUUGAGUGGGUUGGCCAACGUCUUGCUCAUCUCCUGGUGGGGCGAUUGACUUAUUACGUGGUCUGACAGUGAUAGGACAAAGGGAAAUGGCUCUAAGCUAAGAAAGGGGAGAUUUAGAUUAGACGCUAUGAAGAAAUUCUUUACUCAGAGGGCGGUGAGGCCCUGGCACUGCUGAUCAGAUAGCUGUGGGUGCCCCAUCCCUGGAGGUGCUCAAGGUCUCAUUAGAUAGGGCCCUGGGCAGCCUGAGCUGGUGGGAGGCAACCAGCCCACCCAUCUUCAUAGUGUUAUUUUGAUAAGGAAUAGCCUAUGCUGUUCUUGUUUUGUACAGUGUUGUUCUCUAAAACCUCCGUUGCAUUCUGUAUGUACGUACACAUUCAACAGAUGCACACAUCUGCCAUCAGAUUUCCUGCUGAAAUACCCCCAGCUAAAAUCCCAGCUAUUUCUCAGUCUGAUUUCACUCUUGCUAAGCCAGAUUAGGAGUUUUUGGGUCUUGCUGAAACUUCUGCGCUUCGCAGGAUGAAUUCUUAUCCCUGGCAGAAGGCUGCCCUGCUCUCUGUGUUGAUUCUGGCGUCUGCACUGGAAAGCAAACAAAGUAACUCAAGUUGGGUAUUAGGAAAAUGUCUUCCCUGGAAGAGUGAUCAGGCAUUGGAACAGCCUGCCCAGGGCAGCAGUGGAGUCACUGUCCAUGGAGGUUUUCUAGGAAAGGGUAGAUGGAACUUAGGGACAUGGUUGGUGGGUAUGGUGGUGGUUGGUUGACGGUUGGACUUGAUGAUCUUCGUGGCCUUUUCCAGCCUUAAUGAUUCUAUGAACUUCCAUCAGCCCCGAGACAAAAAUAGUGCCUGGGUUUUGCGUUCCCUCCAGAAGAGCCCAACCUCUUUGUUUCAGGGACAACACAUCUGGGAUCCAACAGCAGCCAUUGUUCUCCGAUGUUCAGCUCAUCACAUAAUGAGAUCCCACCAGAGGAACAACAUUAGGAUGCCUCCCAGACAGCCAAGGCCUUCAAAAUGCAUGGAGGAGGAGCAGCUCCAUCAAGGUCAUGCAUAGCUGAGCAUCCCAGAGGGGGAAGGUGAGGACGCUGGGUGACACCAUCGCUUCCCCAAGGCAGAGAUGCACAGACAUUUUGAAGUGUUCCACCAGAGUUUGGGUGUUCCUCUCUUCGGUUGCCUUUUCCAAGGGUCCAGACAGAAGCACUACUGUUCUCCCUGUUUUGUUGAAGGGAGUGACUAAGUCCUCCUCCUGCCUCCUGCCCACAAAGUGGAAUGUUGCUCUUGUCACUGGCAUCAAAAACAGAACGGGACUGUGAAUUGAAGAGCUCUGGGAGGGAGGGUGAGAAGCACCAGAAGCUGUGGUGCAAUAGGAAAAUGUCCCCAUUGCUGCAUACAACAGAGUCCAGCCUCUCCUACCCUCAGGUUCAUGCUGGGAUCACGGGGCCAUGUUUGAGCACUGUGAUGGGCAGAGGAGACGACAGAGACGUGAUGGAGAUCACCUCCCCUGGGUUCUGGGCUACAUGCAUCUGAUGAAGCUGUCAACCAUGAGUUGCUGAAGACCUCCCAGAGCCAUCGUUCUGGCAGAGACCAAAGGUUCAAAGCAGCAUCCACUGCUCCAGAGCCUGAAGACCUCACCACCCAUAAACACCAGGAAGAACAAAGGGCUGCCCGCAGGGAGUUGAUGGGUGGCACAAAAGCUCCUCAAUGCAGGGAUUUUGCCAUCUCCAGAACACAUCUCCAACAGCGUGUCGUCAGACCUUACAGACAUAAAUGCCUACAGCACAUCAGAGAGCCCCAGUCACCCCAUCCAAUGGGAGCACUGAUGUGCACACGUGGGAAGUGCAGCCAUUAUAAG
ensembl:lncRNA